CCCUUAGAUGUUCUGGGAUGCACGCGCGUUACACUGAUUCGUUCAACGAGUUUGUGACCUUGCCUGAUGAGGUGGGGGAAUCUUUUCAAAUCGCAUCGUGAUGGGGAUAGAGUAUUGUAACUGUUAGUCUUCAACGAGGAAUUCCUAGUAAGUACGUGUCAUCAGCUCGUACUGAUUAUGUCCCUGCCCUUUGUACACACCGCCCGUCGCUCCUACCGAUUGAGUGCUCAGGUGAAUAGUAUGGACUGCAUCAGUGUUCGGUCUCCGAAUGUUGACGCGAGAAAUUCUGUGAAUCUUAUUGCUUAGAGGAAGGAGAAGUCGUAACA
rnacentral:rRNA from 1 species